AACCUUCGGCACUCCAGAUGUUGUGGACUACUGUAAAAGCAUUAUGGGCGUAGUCCACAACAUCUUGAGUGCCAAAGGUUGU